UCGAGACUCCGAAGCAUUUCUGUAAGUCGCUCUGGAAAAGGGCGUCGGCUAGAUACUGUAAACGUAAUAAAAAUAAGCGAUUUAAACUCGACAGCGUGUCCCAGAUAUGAAAGCGCAGUGAUCCGUGCUAGCGAUAUGAUUUUCAAGUCGAGGUUUACGUUAGUUAGCGUACCUAUGUGCGAGUUCUCCCACGCUCGGGAGCACGAGUAGGAUACGAACGUGUGAAUAGCAAAUUUCUUCCAUGCAGGUCUUCCAUGAAGCUUUCCUUAAUAAAGACACUAAAAUCAUUUUAAAACACUGAAACUUUUUUUUUUCCCUUCCUGCUGGGGGGGUGUAAUUUCCAUUAAUUCACGGUUUUGUAAUGCACUUCCUGCUAAAGAACAUUGUCACAGAUUCAGAUUUCAAACAUCAAAGAGUCUUUAUUAUUUUUUUCCCCCACCCCUUAUUGUGUGCAAGUUUAAGAAGAGAACAAGCUUCACUUCUUAACGAUUUUUUUUUUUUUUUACAUUUUUUUAUUUGCUCAUUUAGGGUCUGAAUGUCUGAGUGCACAACCAAGCGCUGCUUCGUCUUUUAUCGGUUAUUAGAAACGGGUCCGAUUUUCAAAACGUUCCAGGUUUGAGUACUACGAAGAACUAUAUUACAUUACAUUAUAUUACAUCGUGUUUAAGAACUCAGUAUUCGCUUGUGCACUCAGAAGCGUUGGACCGUUUUCAUGUUCGUCUGUCCGUUUUCUUUUUGUUUUGUUUUGUUUUUUUUCUUCCAGACAUCAGUUUGCUUUUGUACAGACAGUCAGAGGACAUUACUAAUUCUCCUGACAUCGUAACAUUCAUUCAUCUAAAAAAACAAACAACAAAAAAACAGUGCUAUAGGACUAAAACACAGAGUGUAAAAAGGCAGCUUGAUUUAAUAUGGCUAGAUUUCAUUAUUUUCACCAAAAACACAAAAUCUCUGCACCGAGAAUCGUUAUAUGACAUGCUGUAAUAAUCACCAAGGACGGUGUUUGUUUUUCAUGAACGCUAUCCCUGGGAGGUCCCUAGGGGGUCUGCCUAAGUAGCCCAUGUGUUCUGAGGACCUUUGCAAGGC
ensembl:lncRNA